rnacentral:rRNA from 1 species
UACGUAGGGUCCGAGCGUUGUCCGGAAUUACUGGGCGUAAAGGGCGCGUAGGCGGCCUGUUAAGUCGAACGUGAAAUCCCCGGGCUCAACCCGGGAACUGCGUCCGAUACUGGCAGGCUUGAAUCCGGGAGAGGGAUGCGGAAUUCCAGGUGUAGCGGUGAAAUGCGUAGAUAUCUGGAGGAACACCGGUGGCGAAGGCGGCAUCCUGGACCGGCAUUGACGCUGAGGCGCGAAAGCCAGGGGAGCAAACGGG